AAUACAUGCAAGUCGAACGCUUCUUUUUCCACCGGAGCUUGCUCCACCGGAAAAAGAGGAGUGGCGAACGGGUGAGUAACACGUGGGUAACCUGCCCAUCAGAAGGGGAUAACACUUGGAAACAGGUGCUAAUACCGUAUAACAAUCGAAACCGCAUGGUUUUGAUUUGAAAGGCGCUUUCGGGUGUCGCUGAUGGAUGGACCCGCGGUGCAUUAGCUAGUUGGUGAGGUAACGGCUCACCAAGGCCACGAUGCAUAGCCGACCUGAGAGGGUGAUCGGCCACAUUGGGACUGAGACACGGCCCAAACUCCUACGGGAGGCAGCAGUAGGGAAUCUUCGGCAAUGGACGAAAGUCUGACCGAGCAACGCCGCGUGAGUGAAGAAGGUUUUCGGAUCGUAAAACUCUGUUGUUAGAGAAGAACAAGGAUGAGAGUAACUGUUCAUCCCUUGACGGUAUCUAACCAGAAAGCCACGGCUAACUACGUGCCAGCAGCCGCGGUAAUACGUAGGUGGCAAGCGUUGUCCGGAUUUAUUGGGCGUAAAGCGAGCGCAGGCGGUUUCUUAAGUCUGAUGUGAAAGCCCCCGGCUCAACCGGGGAGGGUCAUUGGAAACUGGGAGACUUGAGUGCAGAAGAGGAGAGUGGAAUUCCAUGUGUAGCGGUGAAAUGCGUAGAUAUAUGGAGGAACAGUGGGGAGCAAACAGGAUUAGAUACCCUGGUAGUCCACGCCGUAAACGAUGAGUGCUAAGUGUUGGAGGGUUUCCGCCCUUCAGUGCUGCAGCUAACGCAUUAAGCACUCCGCCUGGGGAGUACGACCGCAAGGUUGAAACUCAAAGGAAUUGACGGGGGCCCGCACAAGCGGUGGAGCAUGUGGUUUAAUUCGAAGCAACGCGAAGAACCUUACCAGGUCUUGACAUCCUUUGACCACUCUAGAGAUAGAGCUUCCCCUUCGGGGGCAAAGUGACAGGUGGUGCAUGGUUGUCGUCAGCUCGUGUCGUGAGAUGUUGGGUUAAGUCCCGCAACGAGCGCAACCCUUAUUGUUAGUUGCCAUCAUUCAGUUGGGCACUCUAGCAAGACUGCCGGUGACAAACCGGAGGAAGGUGGGGAUGACGUCAAAUCAUCAUGCCCCUUAUGACCUGGGCUACACACGUGCUACAAUGGGAAGUACAACGAGUUGCGAAGUCGCGAGGCUAAGCUAAUCUYUUAAAGCUUCUCUCAGUUCGGAUUGCAGGCUGCAACUCGCCUGCAUGAAGCCGGAAUCGCUAGUAAUCGCGGAUCAGCACGCCGCGGUGAAUACGUUCCCGGGCCUUGUACACACCGCCCGUCACACCACGAGAGUUUGUAACACCCGAAGUCGGUGAGGUAACCUUUUGGAGCCAGCCGCCUAAG
rnacentral:rRNA from 1 species